rnacentral:misc_RNA from 1 species
GAUGAAGAACGUAGCGAAAUGCGAUAAGUAAUGUGAAUUGCAGAAUUCAGUGAAUCAUCGAAUCUUUGAACGCACCUUGCGCCCUUUGGCUAUUCUGAAGGGCAUGCCUGUUUGAGUAUCGUGAACACCUCAACUCUCAUGGUCUGCCAUGAUGAGCUUGGACUUUGGGGGUCUUGCUGGCCUACUGUCAGCUCCUCUCAAAUGAAUCAGCUUACCAGUGUUUGGUGGCACCACAGGUGUGAUAACUAUCUACGCUUGUGGUUUUCUGCCAGGUAACCUCCAGUGAUGGAGGUUCGCUGGAGCUCACAAAUGUCUCUCCUCAGCGAGGACAGCUUUUUGAACGUUUGAUCUCAAAUCAGGUAGGACUACCCGCUGAACUUAAGCAUACAAUAAGCGGAGGA